rnacentral:rRNA from 1 species
GUGGGGAAUUUUGGACAAUGGGCGCAAGCCUGAUCCAGCAAUGCCGCGUGCAGGAAGAAGGCCUUCGGGUUGUAAACUGCUUUUGUACGGAACGAAACGGCUCUGGUUAAUACCCGGGGCUAAUGACGGUACCGUAAGAAUAAGCACCGGCUAACUACGUGCCAGCAGCCGCGGUAAUACGUAGGGUGCAAGCGUUAAUCGGAAUUACUGGGCGUAAAGCGUGCGCAGGCGGUUGUGUAAGACAGGCGUGAAAUCCCCGGGCUCAACCUGGGAAUUGCGCUUGUGACUGCACAGCUGGAGUGCGGCAGAGGGGGAUGGAAUUCCGCGUGUAGCAGUGAAAUGCGUAGAUAUGCGGAGGAACACCGAUGGCGAAGGCAAUCCCCUGGGCCUGCACUGACGCUCAUGCACGAAAGCGUGGGGAGCAAACAGGAUUAGAUACCCGUGUAGUCC